rnacentral:rRNA from 1 species
UGGGGAAUUUUGGACAAUGGGCGAAAGCCUGAUCCAGCAAUGCCGCGUGUGUGAAGAAGGCCUUCGGGUUGUAAAGCACUUUUGUCCGGAAAGAAAUCCUUGGCUCUAAUACAGUCGGGGGAUGACGGUACCGGAAGAAUAAGCACCGGCUAACUACGUGCCAGCAGCCGCGGUAAUACGUAGGGUGCAAGCGUUAAUCGGAAUUACUGGGCGUAAAGCGUGCGCAGGCGGUUUGCUAAGACCGAUGUGAAAUCCCCGGGCUCAACCUGGGAACUGCAUUGGGUGACUGGGCAGGCUAGAGUAUGGCAGAGGGGGGUAGAAUUCCACGUGUAGCAGUGAAAUGCGUAGAGAUGUGGAGGAAUACCGAUGGCGAAGGCAGCCCCCUGGGCCAAUACUGACGCUCAUGCACGAAAGCGUGGGGAGCAAACAGGAUUAGAUACCCUGGUAGUCCACGCCCUAAACGAUGUCAACUAGUUGUUGGGGAUUCAUUUCCUUAGUAACGUAGCUAACGCGUGAAGUUGACCGCCUGGGGAGUACGGUCGCAAGAUU